UCACUGAUUCAUUAAGUAUAGCUUAUGAAAUAAAGUAAUUGCUACUACGCUUAUAUGCACUGAAUAGCAUUACAGCUUUACUCUUGAUUACAGUAAUCAUUGCUCUUUAAUCUGAUUUACCAUUACACUUCACUGCUGUGCACUUCCCUCUCUUUGCCAUUUUCCUUUCUCUAUCUCUUUAGUGUCUCUGUCUCUCUCAAGCUUAUGCUUCAGUACUGACGUCAUCAAGUAUUUCAUUGAAUCCAAUUCAAGUUUCAAGCUAUGAAGUAUCAAGAGCAAAGGACUAUUAUAUGCAUGACCAAACAUUGUUGCAUUGUUGUGUGUUAUUUAUUUCUUUAAAUUGCCAAAAAAUAUUUUAAAUAA
rnacentral:lncRNA from 1 species